CCUACGGGGGGCAGCAGUGAGGAAUAUUGGUCAAUGGCCGAGAGGCUGAACCAGCCAAGUCGCGUGAGGGAAGACGGCCCUACGGGUUGUAAACCUCUUUUGUCGGGGAGCAAAGCGAGUCACGUGUGACUCAUUGAGAGUACCCGAAGAAAAAGCAUCGGCUAACUCCGUGCCAGCAGCCGCGGUAAUGCGGAGGAUGCGAGCGUUAUCCGGAUUUAUUGGGUUUAACGGGUGCGCAGGCGGAGGUGCAAGUCAGCGGUAAAAGCCCGGGGCUCAACCCCGGCGAGCCGUUGAAACUGGCUGUCUUGAGAUGUCGAGAGGUAUGCGGAAUGCGCAGUGUAGCGGUGAAAUGCUUAGAUAUUGCGCAGAACUCCGAUUGCGAAGGCAGCAUACCGGCGGCGAUCUGACGCUGAGGCACGAAAGCGUGGGUAUCGAACAGGAUUAGAUACCCGAGUAGUC
rnacentral:rRNA from 1 species